AUUGAACGCUGGCGGCAUGCCUUACACAUGCAAGUCGAACGGUAACAGGCCGCAAGGUGCUGACGAGUGGCGAACGGGUGAGUAAUGCAUCGGAACGUGCCCAGUAGUGGGGGAUAGCCCGGCGAAAGCCGGAUUAAUACCGCAUACGACCUGAGGGUGAAAGGGGGGGAUCGCAAGACCUCUCGCUAUUGGAGCGGCCGAUGUCAGAUUAGCUAGUUGGUGGGGUAAAGGCCUACCAAGGCAACGAUCUGUAGUUGGUCUGAGAGGACGACCAGCCACACUGGGACUGAGACACGGCCCAGACUCCUACGGGAGGCAGCAGUGGGGAAUUUUGGACAAUGGGCGCAAGCCUGAUCCAGCAAUGCCGCGUGCAGGAAGAAGGCCUUCGGGUUGUAAACUGCUUUUGUCAGGGAAGAAAUCUUCUGGGUUAAUACCUCGGGAGGAUGACGGUACCUGAAGAAUAAGCACCGGCUAACUACGUGUCAGCCGCCGCCGUAAGAC
rnacentral:rRNA from 1 species